rnacentral:rRNA from 1 species
GUCUUACAGCCGCCGCGGUAACACAUGCAAGUCGAGGGGUAGUUGUCUUCGGAUAAUGAGACCGGCGCACGGGUGCGUAACGCGUAUACAAUCUACCUUUUACAGAGGGAUAGCCCAGAGAAAUUUGGAUUAAUACCUCAUAGUAUUUUUGAAUGGCAUCGUUUGAUUAUUAAAGUUCCAACGGUAAAAGAUGAGUAUGCGUCCCAUUAGCUAGAUGGUAAGGUAACGGCUUACCAUGGCAACGAUGGGUAGGGGUCCUGAGAGGGAGAUCCCCCACACUGGUACUGAGACACGGACCAGACUCCUACGGGAGGCAGCAGUGAGGAAUAUUGGACAAUGGGCGCAAGCCUGAUCCAGCCAUGCCGCGUGCAGGAAGAAGGUCCUAUGGAUUGUAAACUGCUUUUAUACAGGAAGAAACACCUCUACGAGUAGAGACUUGACGGUACUGUAUGAAUAAGCACCGGCUAACUCCGUGCCAGCAGCCGCAGUAAAAC